AUGGCCAGAUGGACACUUACAUGGCAUAGAUACUAGUAAGAACCUUUUUUCAUCAGUUAAUGUUGCUAUGUUGUUGAAACAUCAUUUCCAUAAACUAUAUUUGGAAUUUAAUUAUCAAAUUUCAUAUUUGCCAUUAGGUAUGCAUCUCUGGAAAAUUAUGUCGCUGAGCCAAUCAUAAGUUCAACAGAAAAGCAGCCACUCCUUGAAACUCCAGGAGAAAAAACUCAUAUACAGGUAUGCCUUUGAAUAUGGGAGCAAUUACUUUUAGUUGAAAGUGAUGAAGUGCACUUAGGAUCGACUUGAAGUUUCUGCUUGGCUAUGUACUGAACAUAUUUCUACUUGUUGUAUACUGAAUGUACUGAACAUAUUUCUACUUGUUGUAUAUUGAAUGUACUUUGUUGUUAAGAUCUAUGUACCCUUUGUAUUAUUAA